CUAACGGUUGCUUUUUUGUUUGCUUGUUUCGUUCAGUGGUUACGUCUGCUGGAGACAAGCAGACACCCUGGGAUAAUACUGUGUUCCUGCUUCAUCGGGGGACGUGAUCAUCCCUCCCCACUUCCAGCUUUCAGGGCACUUUUGGGCACAACUCCCGCUCCUCUCCUGAAACGCCUUCCUAAAGGGCUCUCUAUGGCCACUGCCCCUCUCAGGCACUCGCAGUGCGAAGCGGAAGCGGUUCCAGGCGGGAGAUGCUAUUUUUCGCCACCCAAGAGGCGAGCCCGGCAUCUGGGAGCCGGCCGGGCUGAGCACCGCGGCGGCUGCGGGCGGCACCGCUCCGGCCCCGGCCGCGCAGGGCUGCCCCGUACAUGGACACCGGGUUGGGGCUGGUUCAUGGGCGUCCUGCCAGCUCCCCCCCUUCCUGCAUCACCUCCCCCGCACCCUAAUUCCUUGCAGCCCAAUGCAAAGGGGGCAUCCCCCUCCAGCCCCCCGUCGGCAGGGCAGAAAUGGCCCGUCCCGCUGGCAGGGCGGCUGGGGAAGCGGGGCCCCCGGCUGGGGGGCGACUUGUGUGUGUGUCCCCCGGCCCCCACGUGGGGCACGACCCGGUCCCGGCGGGGCUGAGCGCGGCCCGGUCGCCCCAUGCCGGGAUUUGCGCAGGAGCCUGCCCCGGGGGGGAGGAGGAGAGAAGGGAGGGGGGCUGGAAACUUUCUUUCGCUCAGCGAAAGAGCAGAGGAGCGAGGCGAGCAGGAAGGCCGGGCCAUUGUCCACAGAGGGUGCAUUUUUGUCAGGCUGGCGUUGGUUGCUAUAGUGAGGAGGGAAGGGGAGAGAGAGAGGAGGGAAAGGGAAAGAAAAAAAAACAACCAACCCUAAACCAAACAGAGGAGCACAGUUCGCCUCCCUCCGCUCUCCCGGCUCCAGCCGGCAGCGCUGCCCGUUCCCAACCAAAAUAAGAGCGCCCCGCGGGAUGUCCCGGGCUCCCGGCGGGGCGAGGAGCCCCGGCGGCCCCGGCCCCGCGGAACAGCCGUGCCGGCCGCUCCUCCCCGCACCGCGACAGCCGCCGCGCAUCCUCCGCCGGCUGCCCGCGGGGAGCAGAGGGGUCGGCCCGGCGAGAUCAGGGCGCUUCUGGCUGCAGAGCAGCAAACACGUAGCGCUGCGGGAUGCCCCGAGUCACACAGCCCAACACCACACCUGAUCCAGCGCCUACUCACUUGGUCACGGUGGCUUCGCACCCUGCAGAGCAUCCGUGACACUGAUCCUGACACGAACUGCGUGGGGUUUUGGGGGUUGUUUGGUGGUGGUUUUUUUUUUGGUGCCUAAAUAAUUUAAAGGAGGGGGGGGAAAUACCUUAUUCGGAUGCAGAUGAACAGCUUUUUAAUUUUAAGAGAGACUCUUAUUUUGCAGCAGUGUUUUUUGUUGCCUUGCUAUUGAACUUUGAAAAUAGUGUGGCAGGGGAAGGCAAUAAUGAAGAGUCUCGAAGGCUUAAGAUUUAGUUAAAUGAGUGACUCAAGAUGGCAAGAAGAAAGUUAGUUACUUAGUUAAUUGAGAAUUAUUCACCUUCUGAGAUCGGCACAGCGGUUUGUUCAGAUGACAGUGCGAACUUGGGGCGGGGGGUGGCAGGAGGCAGGCAGGGGAGGAGGCAGAUUUCACUCGGUUUUUCUUUCCAGGACAAGUUAAAUUGCAGUUGAAGGAGAGAGCGCCCCGGACGUGGCGGCGAGGGUGGUCGGGGCAGGAGAGCGCGGAGGGUGCGCGGUUGCGGAGGAAGAUGCGGGACAGCAACGCCCGCCGCCUGGGGCCGCUCUGACAGGGUGUCCGGGAAUCCACGCUGGCCCCGCCGGCCGCCCCGAAGGGUUUCUGCCCGUGGAAGAGAUGGAAAUCGCUGAGAAACCCCCUCUCCUUCACUCCUCCAUCUCCGCGGUCACCCACGCGUAACCCCCGGGGCACGGUCACUCCAGGCAGCCGCCUGCUGCUUGUGCUCGCCCGAAGCGCCCCUCCCUACACACAUACCGGCGGCGGCCGGGCCGCGGAGCGGACACGGGUGUGAGUGGCGGGGGCCGUGCCACCGGCGGGGCCAAACAGCUCGGUUUCAGAGCGUCGAGUUUCAGGGUUUUAACCUCGACUUCUGCGGGGGAAAAAUAAAUUAAAAAGAAAAAAAGGAGAAAAAGAAAAAAGAAAGAGAAGCGGUAGCAUGUGCGGGGAGGUGGAUAUGUGGGAGCGCACCCAUGGGCAGAGGGUGAAGAGGGUUGCCGGACACCGGGGCCACCUCAGGCGGGGACGUCCCCCGUCCUCCCGGGAACAUCUCCGGCCUGCGGGGGGGCAAUGCUGGUGGCCCGCGAACGGUCCUUCUUCGGGUCUACAUCUGUGCCAUGCCUCCACACGAAAAAAAGAUCUUCGUAAGCCAGGGCUAAACCAAAUGUUACUAUUCAGAGGCUGUUUUGCGAGAGGAGAAGCACGACAGAGCUGGGGUGGCCUUUGGUGUCCUCAUGGUUACAAGUGAAAGUCACGGCAAUCCCCUCCACAUCUCGAGAAAGCUGUGAAAAAGAGGAAUCCUAGCAUCAUAACAUAAUGUCUCAUCUAUUAGUGUCUCUUGCUCACUUUCUGGACUGGACUGAUAACCCUUUACAUUUAAUGCUAUGUUAAGUAUAAUAACAGCUUCCAGAAAUGGAGUAGGUGAGGAGGCUGUGGAGGAGAUAAGAGGAAUUUGUCUUGUUCUUGGGCUUCCUCCCUGAGCUCCAGAAGCAUCUCUCCUUCAGGUGUGAAGCCUAACCCAUGCAGCCAGACCAAUGCUAAAAUCAAGUCACUAUUCCCCAGGGAGCUAGUCUUUCUGUUAAGUAACAGGUACUUUUUAUUUUAAGUAACAGCUACCUUUUAUUUUAAAUUUGAUGGCAAUAAAGUGUGGUUGAAAGGAAGCAAGAGCUCUGAGGACAGCGGAAGUUAGCAGCAGGCAAGAAGCCUGUGAACUUGAAUAGCAUCUCCAGCAACAUAUCCACGCUCCAGUAACAACAACCUCCAUUCAAAAACAGUUGAAAAACGUGUAAAGGAAGCAGAUUCAGAAAGAACACAAAAUAGUAAGGUGGCAAGCAGCAAAAAAAUGCAGCAGCCUGUAAAGCUCCCACUGUUCGCUACUUCUUCCAGCUUUACAACAACUGUUUCUAUAGAAGGUUACUUUUCCCUCUGGUCUGUCCCUCCAGCUCCUCACAUGGGCUUUAGUGGCAGAAAUGAAAGGGGCUGAAAAAUGUGUUCAGGAGGGCAGAAGUGGGUUACAUUGGGAAGUUGUGGUCUUCAACUAAGAUGUAACCUGCCCUCACCUGGUUACCCAGUCGUCACACUGGGAGUGUAACAGUCUGUCAAGAUCAUCUAAUAAUCGGUGUACUAGUUUUAUAUUGAAAGCAGGCUACAGUUAAUGUAGCUGUUUAUUCCCUGAAAAUGCAGACAUGGAAGUGGUGGGAUGUCCCUUUCUCUUUGCUGUGAUGAGUGAUAGCUCAAAGUUUGUUUUUAAAGAUUUGCAAUCCAGCAGAUUUUUUCACCUUUUUUUUUCUCCUUUCUUUUCCCUUUCCACCUCGCCCAUUCAGUGGUUUGAAACAAGCUAAAUCAAUCUCCUGUUUUGAGAGCAGGACAGGCAGACACCUUGGUGUGAGCAGUACUACAGGUGAAAUGAUGGUUGCACUUCUGCAGCUGUACUUGACUGUCUGGGGGUGCCAACACCAGUGAGAACAGCAGAGAUUUCUCUGCUGCUCCCACACAUAGCCUGUGAAAGGCAAUCAGUCUUUUAGGGAACAGCUCAAAUAAUUCAUGUACCAUAAUAAUUGUAUAUUCCCACUAAAGUGACACGGAACAGUCGAUUCUUCAAGAAGAAAGAUUUGCCCAUCACCCCAGACCAUUGCUACAUAUCUUUAAACAUCCCUAAAACCCCGUGAUGUUAUGUAAGUAUGGACAAACCAGUGAUGGUUUCCUGAACCUAGAGCAUCCCGACUGAAAUUGAAGGCUCUCUGCAUGUGAGCUGGGUGGCAGAAAUGAGCCUGGGUCCCUCUCCUUUGCCUACUAGACCCUUCACAUCUUGUGUACUGGGUUGUACAAUCCACCCCCUCCACACCCUGUUGUCUGCUAAGCUAACAUAUGGUUGGUGUUUCCUCAGUAGGGAGCCCCUAGAUGAGAUUGCACCUGUGAUAUAGUCAACAGUAACAUGACUAAAGAGAGUUAACCUACUUAUGCACACUGAGAGAGGUGAGUUUACCCACUUUUAUUUACUGCUACACCACUGGGCUGAGCUUCAGCAUAAAUUGUUUCAAGGUGCCUUGUUUCAGCAGUUGUACAGAGAACUGGCUUCUUAGUUAUUCUGUAACUCAAAGGUGUGCAAAAUCACUGCCUAACUGGGAAUAAAAUUAUCAUAAGCACAAUUAUGCCUGUGCUGAAAGGACAAGGUCAGAAGAGAGAAUCCAAAAUGUCAACAAGACUAGUUCAUGAUGGAUUGUCCCAGACAAAGCUGUCUGAUGUUAUACAUCACAAAAAGUUAAAAGAUGAUGUAAUUUAUAUGUUAGACUCAUUGUCAAUUCACACCAGAACCUGAGGAACAGCAAAAUCAGUUGUAGUACUUUUGGCCAUAUGGCACGUUUUGGGAUGUGUGGUGAGGGUGGUUGGCAAUACACAAUUUUUUUCUUCGGUGUGUCAGUAAAGCAUUCUCUGAGCUGACAGUAGCUUUUGCAUUUGGCACCGAUAAUCCUGGGAGACCCUGUGUCAGUCUGCUUUCCCUGCCAUGGCUCCCUGUCAACUCACUCUCCUUUUGAAAGAGAAGAUCUUUAUGCAGCCAAAAGAGUCUCUGAGUUAGUCCUUCACUCCAGAGUUUUGGCAUUGUUGGUUUAAAUCUCUUGGGCUGGUGCAUUACACUUUGGCUGGACUACUCAAGGACAAUUCAGUGGCUUUAGUGUCUUCUACCAGCCCUCAAAUGUUUCUUAUUGGGCUUCUUGUACUUCUCCCCCAUCAUUUCCUUUCUUCCUUUUUCUUAUAGCCAUCUUUUACACUAAACCAAUGUAUUUAUCCAGUAAACAUCCAGAAAAAUCUGCUCAAUAUUCAGUGUUCUUACAUUAUUUUGGAAGUGGUCCAUAUUCAUGACUGCUGAAAAAAUUUUAAAAUCUGCAUGCUUUAGUUUUAUGGGUAAGAGAUGAAGACCUCACUCCUUAAUUUGCCUCCUAUCUGAACCCACUCUGGUCAUUACAGGUGGGAAUGGGAGGGCUGCCUCUUGUUAUAGAUGCCUGAUACUUUAAUUUAAAAAAUUGUGGUUAUAGUGUUGUAUCAACAAGGUUAAAUUUUUCUGUUGUCACCCAGUGUUUCAGUAAUGAGAGCAAAGAUCAUGGCACUGUGGUUCCAGACCACAGAGAAAAGCCAUUAUGCCAUUGUGGUCUACUUAAAAACAGUUUGUAAAAAACCCCAACCAAACAGGUUGUAUGUAUGCAGUAAAGCAGCAGCAGCAUCUUUGAAGGUUCUCUCCUCCCUAGAAAACCUUAAUUUGCCCAGCCCAUGCAUGAAUGCACCAUCCACAAGCAGUAACUGAGUGCAACGCUGCUGGAGAUGCACCCAGCCUGCAUCUUCCCCUCCUGGCCGCCCUGCGCUGCUUCCUGAGAGACUCAGUUACUGUCAGUCACUGGGGCCAGGCAGCAAAGCUUCCUGGCAUGGAAAUGGAGGGGAAGGAAUGGGGUGAAAAGGGAACGAGAAGAGAAAAUGGAGACACAAACUCAGGUGCACCUCUGUAAGCUGGAAAGGGGGAGAGAAACUAUGACUUGGAUUUCAGAUUAGGAGUGAGAGCUGAAAAUGAGAAAUAUGGGGUAGGAAUGAUUUGGCAAAGAAACUAGAGCUGUGUGAAGAAGGAACCUGAGUCUGAGGACUGGGAGGAGGAUCCUGCUGUCUGAAAGACAAAAGAAAAGCUUACUGAGGGCACUCUGAGUAGGCAAGAAGCUGUGUGGAGAGCUGGAGUGCCUAGGACUGGGUGGGUAAAAGAGUCUUGGACUUCUUGAGCCAUGCAGAUAGGACUGGGUCGUGGUAUGAAAGCAGGCACAGGCAGAACUUUUGUCUAUGGUGGAGCAAAGAGAAAAGUCCAGGAAGCAGGGAAUGGAUUGAGAGGGACUGGCUUCAGAUGGAAGAAGUACCAUGGAAGAGCUAGCUCUUCCAGGCAUAGCUCAGGUCUCUCAGCACGAUGUUCUAUGUCCUGCAGACAUGCUGAGAGUGGAAAUCGGGGCCAUUUGGAAAUGACACAACUUCAGAUUGUAAGUGCAUUGUCUGUGCAAUGAAUGGAAAUGGAAUGGUCUCUCUUUUCUGGAAAGGUAACUUUCCUGAACCUCGCAUUGGACCGUAUUUAUUGUCUUAGGUUAGGCUGCAAAAGACAAGACCAUAGAUAGGGCUUUUUGAUUUAAGUGUAACUUGCUAUUAUGUCCAUAAAGAAAAAGGCACUUGCUACACAUAUAUAUAGAUAUAUAUAUAUUUCUUUAUUCAGACAUGCAAAGAUGGUAACUGCAUACCAGAUGUUAGAUGUGGUGUGGCAAAACAUGGUAGUUAAAUUGCUUAGGAUAGCCACAGACCCUUUCCCCCUCCCUUGUGUUUGCUGAAGGUACAGAAAAGAGCCCAGAAAUGCAGUUUAGGCCAGAUACUCAGAAGAGGCGUGAAGCUCAGUGUUGCAAUGCCUAAUUUUUAGAUACUCUGCUUUCCAAGGGAAUCCUCAGCCUGGAACUGGACUCCAGGUUAUUGUAAUUGCAAUCCUGAUAAAUGGGCAGCUAGGAAGAGGCACGUAGGCUGACCUCACCCUGCUGACAGAAAAUGGUAAGCAGAGGAAGUUGCACUUCUCUUAUCAAGAGUUGUUUUCUUCUCUUCCCUGGGUAGUUUUGGAGAGAAGGAGGCAGGCAGAAAGGGUGACGAUUGUGUCACCUAACUUCAGAUGUCUGCAACGCAGAGGCCGUUUGCAGUCAUUGGGAGGCACAGUUUGUCUGCUGUGUUCAAGUGUCUGCUCUGGGAUGUAAUGCAGUGCCUGGGGUAAGUAACUCAGAUAUAGCUGACUACACUGUGGAUGCUGAAGUUAAGCAAAAUUAAUGUGACACCCUAUUUAAAAAGCUAGGCAUUUCCAGUGAUAAAUAACAAGCUUUGAGGAUGUAAAUUCUGAAUAUGGUCAUCUCCAGGGACAUUUCAGUGCUCAGCCAUGUGUAUCUAAAAAGUUGUGGUGGUGUAGUUUUCCUUCGUAUCUGGUUCUGUUGACAUAAAAGAUCAGAGCUCUUAUUUGUGUUUUCAGUGUGUUUCUGCAUUUGCAUUGUGGUUGGUAAGCAGCGCUAGGCUGCUCUUUCAAAAACCUUGAUGGAGAAAGUGAGUUCAGUUAUUUUUGAAUAAUAUUUUUGAAUUCAAGCACCAGAACAGUGUAGCAGUUUUCUAUGGGUUCAUCUUUGGUGAGGCAGGAGGAAACUGCCUCUCUUGUUAUUAACUUAUUCGAAUGGGAUGUUGCAAAAUGUCUACUGAAAGACAAUGUUCACAUGAUUGGGAUAGUUAAAGUGGAUUUUGAUGAGACAUAAAUGAAGGAAUAUGUAUGCAUAUACAUAGGAAUACGUCUUUCCCACACCUGAGAUAUUUUACACUAUUAGUUAUGGGUGAGAUGUAUUUUCUGCUUGACAUUGUUGUCACUUCAGAAGAUUUUUGGGCAAUGGGUAUGCGAGGCAUAAGGAUAAAAAAAAAAGCGCCUUUUACAGCUAAAUUAAGUGUUGGCAUCUCUCACAAGAUUUUAUCACAAUUUUUUUUUUUGCUCCUUAAAUCUCCUAUUCCUGGAUUUAUGUAAUUAAAUGACAAUCUCAGCUCUUGUGAAAAGUAAAAAAUAUGGUUUCUAUACAUCAUGAUUCUAGAGGGAUGCUUUAAAAAAUGAUUUGAAGGUACCCUGAGUGUGCAGCAACCAACAGAGAAAUAAAAUGAAACCCACAUUUAUUAUUAGGAAAAAUCCUGAAACUUUUAACCGUACUUGUCAUGUUUAAAGUUGACUUAUGGUUUAGAUUAGACAUUAAGAACAGCUUUCUAACUUUCAGUUGGAAAGCACAAGAAUAGAUUGCCUACAGUGGCAGUGGGAGGAUUUUGAAAAUAGAUUGGACAAAUGUCUGUGGGGAAUGGUUCAGCUACAGUCAACCCAACCCAGUGCAAAAGGAUGCACAAGUGACCUCUAAUUCUUCUUAGCUGCAUCAGGUUAAGCUCUCCAAAAGCUGGCAGUGGUCCCCCUCUGCCCUCACCAGCGGCCAGGUUAUACUGAGGAUCUGCAGUCGGCAGGGGCAGACGGACAGGCUGCCAUCCUUCCUGGGAUACAUGCAGCUGUUGGGAGCGCCAGAACUGACGGUAGGGCUGUCAUGGCUGGGAUUCACCCCCUGCUCCGCCUGACCUUUCUGCUUGACUUCUCUAAGCAUAUUUUUGGUUAUAAGCAGUUCCUCUGGGCAGCCAGGAGCGAGGUAGGGAGUCACCUUCUCUGCAAAUGUUAUACAUGAAUAAACACCUUCCUAGGCUUACUUAACCUGAGUCUGCUGUGUGCCUGUUUCCCUGCUGACACACCAUUAGCAUCUGAAGCAUCUAUAUUUCCUGAAUCGCAACAGAGAUAACUUAUCAUUCCAGCUGCUUAUCUCAGACCUGCCCUGUGGAUCCAGUGGAAAGAUUUCCCCUUUAGCACAUAACAACAGGUGCCUGAUACUCACUUUGAAAUGUUCCUCUUUUUAAAAAAAGAAGAUUUGGGAUUCUUGCCCUGUACAUUUUGCAUCUCUCUUUCCAUCUCUAUGCCCAUAUAGCUCAGUUUAUUAUUAUCGGACUGCUGGCCCAUAUCUUGCUGCCAGUGAUAUCAAUCCCAUACCAUAUAUGCCUUGGGAAUUUUUGGAUACAAUAGGAGCCUUGCAGUUGCCAAAGUCAGUGUGCCAUUUAAAAAGUGGGCUGGGGAGGGGUUAGGCACAUAUUCAGGAAACUCUUCUGUAAGCUUCAGGAAUAUCAAACAUCCAUCUAAUUGUCUUUUCUUUCUUAACAACUCCUCUGGAUAUCAAGUUGGCAUAUGUUAUGCAUAGGUUGACUUUCUGGGAAAAUAGCUAGCAGAGGAAAAAGUGCCCUUAGCAGCUGGUGUGAUGGUGCUGGAGAGCAGGAGGGUGGGACUGGAGAGGAGCAUACCCAGGAGACAUCCCUUCGCGAUCCCUUUUCGAGCGAGCAUCACUCCACUCCCCCAGGAAGCCGGAAGCAGCUCAUCUGGUGAGAUCCUCAGUGCCCUUUCUUGCAAACACAGAAUCAUGGGAUCAUUUUGGUUAGAAGAAACCCUCAAGGUCAUUGAUCAUCGUGGCAGACAGGAGUGUGCUUCUUGUCCCAACUGUAGCCUGGAGCCACCAGUGAGCCACUGGUAUGCUCAGGGCUGCACAUAGGUGUGUUUGCUGCUGUAUGCAUCUCCACAGAACCUGGCCCCAAAAAGAUGUGACCCCUCUCAUGUAAGCUGCUGUCUCAGCCUUGACACCCUUGUUUACGUGCUCUCCUACAGAGUUCACGGGGAAUUGUUAGGGGAGCUGCCUGUUUACAAAUGUUACAACUUUUUAAUCGUAGCUUUAGGUAAGAAAAUAGACAUGCUGUAAGGUAGGAAAAAGAUCAGGUCAAGAAGCUGAACUCUAUUCUUGCUCUUCUGAGUACUGCUACACCUGAAUCAUGUGCUUUUUCAUGCCAUGGAAUCUUAUCCAAAGUGGUGGAACUGAGCGCAUGACUAACCAUGGAGUCGAGAUUCAUUGGCUGGAAUUUUAUUGUCAGAGAUACAAGGAGUGUGAUAGACACACUGGUGCUGUCACCUAUAGAUGCAUUCCUUUGCGCUUUUCAUCAUAAGAUGCUGCUUCCUCUUGCUUAUAUAGUUUUGCCAUCUGUCUUGAUUUGAGUGUUUCAAUGCUUGAUGUUUUCAUCCAGAUCAAGAUCCAGGAGACAAGUGAAAAUAUAAGCAGCCCAUCUUUCAUUUCAAACAAAAAGCUUCUCAAGUUUGCAAAGUUGCAAAGUUUGUAAGGGAAGUAUUGCAAAUGCAAUGAGAAACCUAAACCACCUCAACUACAGGUGCCUGUUUUUACUGCUAUUUGAAAAAAAAUACAGUUUUACAGCUAAUCUGUGAAGUUUUUUGUGCAUGGCCUGAUUUGUAGUUUCUUAAUGCUCGGGACUGGCAGUAUUGUUUACAGUUUUGCCAAACUUUUAACAAUGAAAGAGCUUUUUUCAUGCUAGUCUCUGACUCAAAGCAAACUAUCCUGGAAACAGUCAGUUUCGUGGUUCAUUCAUUUCAGUGAAUGAAAUGAGGGGAAAUGAUAUAUUUGAAUACCCUAAAAAAUUGCUAUAAUUAUUUCAUUAGGCAGAUCUAGCACAGCAUGCUUUGGUACAGAAAUUUAAAAUCAUGUAGGGCAAGGAAGUGCCUUUAACCAAACUCUAACAUUUCUGAAAAGGUCAGUUUACAGAUGCUUUUUUAGCGUUGUCCAGGCACAGUCCUUGCAGGUUCCAUAUGCAUUUAGUGUGCUUCAACUUCUUCCCAGACUCAGUCAGGACCAGAUCAUGGAUGGAGAAGGAGAUCACAGGUGAGUGAGUUGAAGGAAGAUUUCCCUGCAAUCCCUCUUCAUGGUUACUUCAUCUUUCUGUAAUUUCUGUGUAGGGGAACUGCCAGUAAAGGUCGAUCUCUUGUGAUCUCAUGUGUUUCAUCUUACUAGCAGAUGUGUGGAAAGAUGGAGCGAGGAAGGGUGUUCAGACAAGCGAAAUGAGGAGAAAGGUGAAAGCAGAGCAGAAAUGGUGUGAGAUCAAAAGGAUGAGGGAAGCACCAGGGCCCAAAGUAGGACAGAAUAUGAGGUUGAAAGAGAGAGAGGCCAAAGGGCUUGUAGCUCCAUAAGGGACCCAGGGCAGGAUCCAAGAGUGCCACCUCUCAGCAUUCCUGUUCUUGGCUUGCAAAUCACAGUGGAUGCACUAGCCUUGCACAGGCUCUCAUUCAUCUCUGCUGAGCACCACAUUAAAGACAUCAGCCUGUUAUUGCCAUUAUUUCAAGCAAGGAAUAGUGCCUCAGAGCUAGUUGUGAGUGGAGGACUGAAUUCUUCUACCCAGUGAUACAUUUAUUUUAAAACAAAUAAAGUUUUCCUCCUCCUGAAUUCCAUCUGUCUGAGGGGUAUGAAGGUUGAAUAAUUGAGCCUUCAAAAGUUACAGCACACCAGAAUUGUUUCUCCCCUUGUGUAUAUAAAUUAAAAUGUGCUUGUGUGAUCACAUGUCUGGCUCCAGUUGAGCAAGACUGGACAUCCAAAGUUCAGUGAUCCCUUAUGAAAAGUUUGAUUGAAUGAUCAAAUGCUCUUUAAAAAGGUUUUAAUUGCAUAUGGCAAUGAUAGAUAAUAACCACGCAUUGUGUGUGCAUUAUGUUAAUCCCAAAGCCUCCCUCAUAAUGUGGGUGGAACUCUUUACUCAUCAUUGAAAAUUAGCCCUCACCAGAAUAGGAAAUCUGACCUGUUAUUUGCUGGAGCACAAACUCCUUACACUCAGUCUUCUGGUUGGAAGUGAAAGAAACCAUCACCUUUUUAUUUCGUUGAGGAGAAUAGAGAACAGCAUUGUGCAAUUCAAUGUUGAGUUAUCCUCACCAGGUGCCCCAAAACUUCUCAGUGUAGAUGAGCCACAGACAUCAGUUAAUGUUAUAUUGUUCCCUGUCAUGAUGGCUGGUGCUCAGCCUGACCUUCAUGGCUCUCUGAGACAUGAGGUUGCUCGAAGAGCAUGCAGAAGUUUCCAAUUGCCCAACUUGUCUGUGCUAACAGGUACAGAGCAGCUGCAGCAACUUUGUAGCCAGGGCCCCAGUUUGAUGGCUUUUUUUCCUCCUCCUCCUCAAUUGCUUUGCAAUCAAGCUCCAGAAUGAUAAUUUGAGGUGGGUACAGUGAGCAUAACUUUUGGGAACAGAGGUUUAUUAUUUUUUUUGCCUUACAUGCUUCAUAAUUUUCAGCGAGGGCACAGCAAAGGCAGAAGUCUUGGUUGCACACAGAAUAUUCAACAGACUGUUCUGGAUCUACUAAUUCUUAAGUAGAGAAGAGCCAUCGUUGCACUGAGGAAAAUUAGGUUUGCCAGUUCAUUCACAUUUAAAAAAUAAUCUUAUGAAUCUGCAUUCUCUCCAUCCUAUCUGUAUAGGUCCUCUAUCUCCAUUUUUGCACAGCAUAAGUCCCAGGUUACCUGGGCUCCUGCAGUACAUGCAGAACACACAGCAAUCUGCUCAAUUUUAAUGAAGGGCAUUUCCAAAAUUAAUUACCUAGAAACAAAUAUUAAAUGACUGUUCUGUAUAACACAGGAAGAAGAAUUAUUGAGGAGGAAUGAAGGCUGUUAUGAAUGUCGCCAUUGUGCUCUGGUGUGCAGCCCCCACAUCCUCCCCUGUCCCCCCAGCCCCAAUGGAAAUGUAAUCGCAGCAAAUGCUACUCUCCUCUCAAGGUUUAGAUAUACACCUAAUUUCCAGCAGGUGGGCAAUACCAGUGAUCAGAUGUGCCCUGAAUGAAGCACACUUGUAAGUUUUAUUUUAUUUUAUUUUAUUUUAUUUUAUUUUAUUUUAUUUUAUUUUAUUUUAUUUUAUUUUAUUUUAUUUUAUUUUAUUUUAUUUUAAUGUAUUUUAUUUCAUUUUAUUUAUUUAUUUUCUGAAUUGAGACCUCCAGUUGUGUUGUACUGAGGCUGACAGUGCCUUUGAUCAGCUCUGGAUGUGGCUGCAGGACCCAGACCUCCCCAGCUCUCUGGCCUCGCACUCCCUUGCAGAACUGCUGCCUGAGUCCAAUUGCUCUUGCGUUUGAAGAGCUCGUGUUCCUCUCCUGUAAUUCCUCAGCAUGCUGUUUAGGAUUUGAAGAUAUAAAAAGCUAAAUAGUAAGUCAGUGUUAAAUAUAAUAUUUUAACUGUUUCCAGUGUUUUCUUUCUUUUAGUAAAAAGAAACUCCUGAAAAAUAAAACCCAGUUCACUUUAAAAUGCUUAUGCAAGCAAAACAAUCCUUUUGUCUUUUACCUUGGUGUUUUAUAUACCAUUUAAGGUGGUGAUUAUACGCGUGAAUCUAGAAAAAAAAAUAAAGAAGGAAAUAAAUAAUUGACAAGAAAAGAAAAAUUGAAAGCUGUAUGCUGACAGGUAUGGAUUGGCUUAGACAAAAAGAAUUAUAUUCCCAAAUCUAAUAUCAAGAUGGGUUAUAUCUAGCCCUUGCCAAAAUUAAAAAAAGGAAAUCUGAUCAGCAUGGUAGACAACAGAGUUUGACCAGAAGACUUAUGGAAUAAAGUGCCAUUUGCAUCCUUUUUCUUCUCUGAUGUCUCAAAGCAGUAAUAAAUAGUACAAUAGAAAAGAAGUGGUGGUGAAAUGCCUCAUUUUUAAACUUUUUACAUAAAACUCUUUUCAAAAGGAAUAGAAUAAGAAACUGAAGGUAAACAAUUCUGUUUAAUAUAUAAAAAGCAUAUAUAAUGAGCUUUAAGAUGUAUGUUUUUAUGUAUAUGUGUUUAUACUUCUUUGAUGACAGUAAAAUACAUGAGAAUGAAAAAGAGACCUUCAUUUUCCCCUACACAUUUUGUAUACAUCUUUUUUUCUAAGGUAUUCUGGUGUCAGAAAUCACUUGCAAUAUACAUGGUACAGGGGUUUACUGCGAUACACAGUUUUAACAAAUAGAGUGAACAAGAGACUGUAUGUACAGUAAAGGGAACCAAAGUAUUAUAUUGUGCAGUGAAAGGAAAAGAUGGUCCAUCUCUUUUUUUUGCUUCAGUGUUUACUUUCCACAGCAAAAUGUCUGUCACCUUUCUACCUGCUGCACAGACUGGUGGGGUUUCUCUGUCCCAGCACCCUGCUUGGCCACUGAGGACAGCAUUUCAGAAGGGUUUGGCCAACCUCUUGUGACACACGUUCUAAAAUAAUUUGGCUUUUAUGUAUAUACCACAUCCAGGGGAUGGAUUUUCAGAAGAGCUUAGCUGGUGGCUGCUGGGCUGCUUGGAAACAUAGAUGUUUCCUUUGGGUACCUAUGGAGGAUGAGACAGUGGCAGGUCUACAGACAGCUGAAGUCCAUGAAGUCAUCUCCAUUCCUGGAGGACACUUCCAAAGCAGCAGUCCCAACCAGGAUGGUAGGCACACAUGGAUGGGGCUGCAGAUCCUGUUGGCUAAGCCUCCUUUGAGCACUACUCAGGAAUGCCAGGGCUUCUCAGGGAGAAGCAGGACACUAAAAAUACAUGUAGGGUGGAAGACCCACCCUCAGUGAAAGCCAUAGCAUUUUUGCUUCUAAUUUGAAGGAAGGAGAGACUUCUGCUGACCAAAGAAUCGGCACUCAUUACUGAAAACUUUCAAUAAAUCUUUGAAGGAAGCCUAGCAUGUCCACAGCUACAAGCUAGUACAUCCAACUACAUACCAUACGUUCAUAUGUAAAAUGAUGAAAAAAGUGUAUUCUUAAGAGCACUUGCAGGCUGUACAAUGCUGUGCUGAAGCUUUUAUUACAUUGAUUCAACUACUUUCUGCAAGUUAUGUAAAGUAAUCUUUCUGAAUCUCACAAAUUUGCAUCCUGGGAGUGAUUGAUACUCUAUGUGUGAUGAAGAUGACUUUCAUUCCCUACCACACAGGUGUGUGAUGAAUACUGGUUUGAGGUGUGCUAUUAUUUAUUGCCAAGGUUAUUUCAUAAAUUCAGUUUCCCAAUUCUAAUUCAGAUCUACAUGCUUUCUCUGAAGAGGACUCUUAUUAAGUCGUCAUUUCUUGAGAAAACUAAACCAAACUAAAAGGCACCAGUAAUAGAUUGGUUUUAUUCCACUCCAUAAAUGUGUGAAGUACUGUUUUAUUAUACAUUAAAAGUGUGAUUAUGUGUGAUGGCGUCUUUGGAUCAUGUCAGUGGUUGAGUGCUAGUUUUCAUUGCUAGCUUUAAUCUGG